CAAUCAGCCCUUUUCAGGGCCAAUAAAUGUGUACAAAAAAGUUAUUU
rfam:Aedes aegypti strain Liverpool supercont1.744 genomic scaffold, whole genome shotgun sequence.